rnacentral:rRNA from 1 species
GAUAAACGCUGGCGGCAUGCCUAAUACAUGCAAGUCGAACGAGGUGCUUUUGUAGCAAUACGAGAGUAUCCUAGUGGCGAACGGGUGAGUAACGCGUUGGUGACCUACCCCAAAGUGUGGGAUAACAGUCCGAAAGGACUGCUAAUACCGCAUGUGGUUAUUGGAUCUAGAAACCGGUAACUAAAGGAGCAAUUCGCUUUGGGAGGGACCUGCGUCCCAUCAGCUAGUUGGUGAGGUAAUGGCUCACCAAGGCGACGACGGGUAGGGGACCUGAGAGGGUGGCCCCCCACAAUGGAACUGAAACACGGUCCAUACACCUACGGGUGGCAGCAGUAGGGAAUAUUGCACAAUGGGCGAAAGCCUGAUGCAGCAACGCCGCGUGUGUGAUGAAGGCCUUCGGGUCGUAAAGCACUUUUCUGGGAGAUGAGAAAGGACAGUAUCCCAGGAAUAAGUCUCGGCUAACUACGUGCCAGCAGCCGCGGUAACAC